AUUGAACGCUGGCGGCAUGCCUUACACAUGCAAGUCGAACGGCAGCGGACCUUCGGGUGCCGGCGAGUGGCGAACGGGUGAGUAAAGUAUCGGAACGUACCUUUCAGUGGGGGAUAACGUAGCGAAAGUUACGCUAAUACCGCAUAUUCUGUGAGCAGGAAAGCAGGGGAUCGCAAGACCUUGCGCUGAUUGAGCGGCCGAUAUCAGAUUAGCUAGUUGGUGAGGUAAAGGCUCACCAAGGCGACGAUCUGUAGCGGGUCUGAGAGGAUGAUCCGCCACACUGGAACUGAGACACGGUCCAGACUCCUACGGGAGGCAGCAGUGGGGAAUUUUGGGACAAUGGGGGGCAACCCGUGAUCCAGCCAUGCCGCGUGAGUGAAGAAGGACCCUGGUUGUAA
rnacentral:rRNA from 1 species